GACCAACCAGAAAGAAGAGGCAGCGUCCAGCAACUGGACAAAGGCCAGAGGGCCUUUCUGGCAAGAGGACUGGGGUGAGCAGAAGCUGAUCCGGCUCUUUAUCCCUGGGCGCAAGUGCCGUGUGGCAUAGAGAUGGCUGGAGCCGUGUGGAUGGGCGUAAAUGGCUAAUGUCCAGCGGCCAUCGAUGUCAAGUAUCCACGCACCUGGCCUGAGUGGAUCCCUCUGCCUUUCAGAGAUAGAGCUUCAUGUACCUAAGCCUGCAUUUUUCUUUUUGCAGUUUGGGAUAUGAGAUUGAAAAUGACAACUCGGAAUAUUCCUGAGAGAGAAGUACCCUGUGAUGUAGAAAUGGAAGGAUUCACAAGGGAAGCUCCCUGCUUGUCCAUUUUAGGUGAUGGUUGGGACUGUGAGAACCAGGAGGGAGACUUGAGUCAAUCAGCUUUAACUCUGGAGAAACCAGGGACUCAGGAAGCAAUUUGUGAAUAUCCUGGUUUUGGGGAGCAUUUGAUUGCAAGCUCAGACCUUCCACCAUCUCAGAGAGUUCUGGCAACCAAUGGUUUCCAUGCACAUGACUCAAAUGUUAGUGGUCUGGAUUGUGACCCUGCCUUACCCAGCUGUCCUAAAAGUUAUGCAGCUAAGAGAACUGGUGACAGUGAUGCCUGUGGAAAAACCUUCAACCAUUCCAUGGAAGUUAUUCAUGGAAGAAAUCCAGUGAGAGAGAAGCCCUACAAAUAUCCUGAAAGUGUUAAGUCUUUUAAUCAUUUUACCUCUCUUGGUCAUCAAAAAAUAACGAAAAGAGGCAAGAAACUGUAUGAAGGUAAGAAUUUUGAGGACAUCUUGACCCUGAGCUCAUCGCUUAAUGAAAACCAGAGAAAUCUCCCUGGAGAGAAACAGUAUAGAUGUACUGAAUGUGGCAAAUGCUUCAAACGGAACUCUUCUCUUGUUUUGCAUCACCGAACUCACACCGGAGAGAAGCCUUAUACUUGUAAUGAGUGUGGAAAGUCCUUCUCCAAGAACUACAACCUGAUUGUGCAUCAAAGGAUCCACACAGGAGAGAAGCCCUAUAAAUGUAGUAAGUGUGGGAAAGCUUUCAGUGAUGGGUCAGCUCUGACGCAGCACCAGAGAAUUCACACAGGCGAGAAACCUUACGAAUGCCUGGAAUGUGGAAAAACCUUCAACCGAAAUUCAUCCUUAAUUUUGCACCAAAGAACUCAUACAGGGGAAAAACCAUACAGAUGUAACGAGUGCGGAAAACCCUUCACGGACAUCUCCCACCUUACAGUGCAUCUCAGAAUCCACACCGGUGAGAAGCCCUAUGAGUGUAGCAAAUGUGGAAAGGCUUUCCGGGACGGCUCGUACCUCACCCAGCACGAGAGGACUCACACUGGAGAAAAGCCCUUUGAGUGUGCAGAGUGUGGGAAAUCCUUCAACAGAAACUCUCACCUCAUUGUGCAUCAAAAGAUCCAUUCUGGGGAGAAACCCUAUGAAUGUAAAGAAUGUGGCAAGACUUUCAUCGAGAGUGCAUACCUCAUCCGGCACCAGAGGAUUCAUACUGGCGAGAAGCCCUAUGGCUGCAACCAGUGUCAGAAACUUUUCAGGAAUAUCGCUGGCCUCAUUAGGCACCAGAGGACUCAUACUGGUGAGAAGCCCUAUGAGUGUAAUCAGUGUGGCAAAGCCUUCAGGGACAGCUCCUGUCUGACCAAGCACCAGAGAAUUCACACUAAGGAAACCCCGUAUCAGUGUCCAGAAUGUGGGAAGUCCUUCAAGCAGAACUCUCACCUGGCAGUACAUCAGAGACUCCAUAGCAGGGAGGGUCCCAGCCAGUGUCCUCAGUGUGGAAAAACGUUCCGAAAGAGCUCAUCCCUUGUUCGACAUCAAAGAGCACACCUGGGAGAGCAACCCAUGGAAACAUAAUAGUUUGGGGCCACAUGAGUCUUCCAGUUAGCGCUCAUGCCUGUGUUUAGGAGGCGUGUCUUACAUCUGACUCCUCUCUGGAUCCAGGGAAGAUGUUUGAAUGGGCACAGUGGCUCACACCUGUAAUUUCACCACUUCGGGAGGCUGACGCAGGAGGAUUGCUUGAGCCUAGGAGUUCAAGACCAGCCUGGGCAACAUAGCAGGACCCUCAUCUCUGCAAAUAAUAAUGUAAAAAUUAGCCAGGUGUGAUGGCAUGUGCGUUAAGUUACAGCUUCUCAGGAGGGAGAGUCAGGAAGAAGGCAGAAGAAUCUCUUAAGCCUGGGAGUUGGAGGCUACAGUGAGCUGUGAUCACACCGCGGUACUGUGGACUGGAUAAUGGAGUAAGACCCUGUCUCAAAACAGAAUCUGAUAUGGUUUGGCUCUGUGUCCCCACCCAAAUCUCAUGUCGAAUUGUAAUUCCCACUGUUAGGGGAGGGACCUGGUAGGAGAUGAAUGGAUCAUGGGGGCAGAUUUCCUCCUUGCUGUUCUCAUGAUAGUGAGUUCCCAUGAGACCUGCUUGUUUAAACGUGUGUAGCACUUCCUUCUUCAUUCACCCUCUUUCCUGCUCUGCCAUGGUAAGACAUGCUUACUUCUUCACCUUCUGCCAUGAUUGUAAGUUUCCUGAGGCCUCCCAGCCAUGCUUCAUGUACAGCCUGUGGAAUU